UACAGAGGGUGCAAGCGUUAAUCGGAGUUACUGGGCGUAAAGGGCGCGUAGGUGGUUAGACAAGUAAGAUGUGAAAUCCCUGGGCUUAACCUAGGAAUUGCAUUUUAGACUGUUUAGCUGGAGUGCAGUAGAGGGUAGUGGAAUUUCCGGUGUAGCGGUGAAAUGCGUAGAGAUCGGAAGGAACACCAGUGGCGAAGGCGACUACCUGGACUGCAACUGACACUGAGGCGCGAAAGCGUGGGGAGCAAACAGG
rnacentral:rRNA from 1 species